ACAAUCUUUAGAAGACAUCUGAAGGCAGUCCUCUAUAGGGAAGUUUUUAAUGUUUAAUGUUUAAUUAUGUUUUUGUAUACAGGACUGCCUUCAGAUGUCUUCUAAAGGUUGC